rnacentral:tRNA from 1 species
GCCCCGGUAGCUCAGCCGGUAGAGUGACGGUCUUGUAAACCGUAGGUCGUGGGUUCGAAGCCCACCCGGGGCU